rnacentral:lncRNA from 1 species
GGGUACUCCUCAUUACAGAAUCAUUGAUGGUUUGGAGGUCAGUUCAGACCAAUUUUUCUAUGAUUGAAUAUGGAAUCAAAAUUAAAUUGGUGAAACAAAAUAGCAAAAAGUGAUACAUCUACAAAAUAAAAAACAUAAGGAAAACUUUUGUCUGAAACAUAAAUAAACGUAGGUUGAAAAACUGUCAAGAUAGGUGCAAUUUGGGUACCCUCACGUUAGGAUGGGAUAAACGCUCACAAACAUGUUUACCCCGCCACGUUCUGUAUCAGUGUGUCAGACGUUCGGUGGUUCACGUUGGUUAUUAUUCUAGUUUUUCAUAACUUGUCUUAAUAAC